UACGAAGGGGGCUAGCGUUGUUCGGAUUUACUGGGCGUAAAGCGCGCGUAGGUGGCUUGAUAAGCCGGUUGUGAAAGCCCGGGGCUCAACCUCGGGACUGCCUUGGAUACGGGAUUGCUUGAGAAUCGGAGAGGUAAGGGGAAUUCCACGUGUAGCGGUGAAAUGCGUAGAUAUGUGGAGGAACACCAGUGGCGAAGGCGCCUUACUGGCCGAUUUCUGACGCUGAGGCGCGAAAGCGUGGGGAGCAAACAGG
rnacentral:misc_RNA from 1 species